UUUUGGAAUAGUAGUAAAAUAAAUGAAAUUUAACGGAUUUGGCGGCAAGAUAGCCAUUUAGAGGAACCUGCCCUGUAAACGAUGAACCACGAUUUUCUUUACUUUUAUUAGUAAUCAGUUUGUAUACCGCUGUUGUCAGUUAGUUUCUUUAGAAAACUUUCAUUCAUGAUAAAUUCACGGACUUCAAGUAAAGGUGCAGCUUAUAUAAAAGAUAGAGGUGGGUUACAAUUAAAAGAAUAAAAUGGAUGAAGUUUAUAAAAAAUCUUUUGAAGGUGGAUUUAAUAGUAAAGU
rnacentral:rRNA from 1 species